AUGACGAAGAAAAGACAUCACCGCACACGCAAUGUAAAUGCAACACAGAAAGCAACUCACAACAAAGAUGCUGCCAGCAGCGAAGAAGACACAGACAGGCUUACCAAGCUGCCUGAUGACCUUCUGCUAAACAUUCUGGAGAGGGUGGACACGCUCGAUGCAAUAAGGGCCUGCGUCCUCUCCAAGCGAAUGAUGAAGCUCCCCACCAUGCUCUCGCACUUCUUCCUGAGCUGUAGUUCCAUUCCAGGUCACCAUGUUAGAGCUCGUGUUUUCAACGUCAGUGAAUUUGUCAGAACCAACAGUGUUGUGGCUCAUGUAACGGAUAACAUCUUGAGCACAAGGAGCCCAGAGAUCACCAUCAGCAGACUCAAAAUCAGAUUCCUCUUGGUGCAACCUGACUGUUACACAAUUGGCAAAUCUGUCGCCCAUGCCAUGAAAACACAGAAGGUUGGCGCGGCUGAGUUCCAGAUCGUAACAGACAAGACUCAUUUGAAGUGCUCUCCUGCCGAUCUCCUCGACCAUGCAAAGCAGCUCAAUGAUUUCCUCGGUGCUUGUCGUGAUGCAUUUGCUGGCCUCAGGCGCCUGUGGCUGUGCAAUAUGAGGUUUGGUGGUGAACUGGACAUACCCAACAUCCUCAGCACCUGCAAGCUCUUGGAGUCUUUGCGUUUAACCCAUUGCGACUCGGGGAUGAAUUCUGUGCUGCAACUAGAACAUGCUCAGCUUACCGAGCUCGAGGUCGACUAUGGGAAAUUUGAGAUAGUUGAGCUGACAUGUCUACCGAAACUCCGACGGGUGAGCUAUAAGAGUUGGUUCUACUCUGAGAAAGAUCCCCUGUAUUUUGGUUUUGUGCCACAGCUUUCAAAGCUGAGGCUUGCUAAAACUGGCUCCAGAUCGACUAGGACUCUUGAGUUGAGUCAGCUCCUCGGUAAUGUUCCUUCCAUAAGCGAUCUGCAUCUGGAUUUUGAAAGUGAAAAGAUUUGGGUUCUACCAGAAAGCCCGGAGCUGCUCAGGCCUGUGCUCAGCAAACUACAGCAUGUGAUUCUGGAAAAACUUCCUGAAGGAUGUGAUUUAGCUUGGACAAUGUUUAUUCUUGAAGCUGCACCGUCCCUCAAAGAGCUGUGCAUCACAGUAUGGGAUCAUUGGUGCCAUAUGGUGAUGAGAGACAAAGAGUUUCGGGAGAGAAAUGGCUACUGUGAAAAGGCAGACGUGGAGUGGAAGCCACAUGCCCCUGAUUUCAAGCACAAGAAUUUGGUUAAGCUCACCAUCUACGGCUUCCAACCUGACGACAUCUUUGUGCGAUUCAUCAGGUGUGUCAGGGAACAUGCGGUUAAUAUGGCGGAGAUAUCUCUGCACGACAGGAAGGUAUGUCUGCGAUGUGGUGACUUGGAUCCCAAGAUGAAGUGCCCAUCAAGAUAUCCACGGAACGCUGAUGAGCGCAUGCAGAUCAUUGAAGAAUUGGGGAUGUCUUUGCCCGGUUUUGUUCGCUUCAUGUCGUAG
rnacentral:rRNA from 1 species